rnacentral:misc_RNA from 1 species
CAAUUUUCGUGUCCCCUUCGUCUAGAGGCCCAGGACACCCCCCUUUCACGGCGGUAACAGGGGUUCGAAUCCCCUAGGGGACGCCACUUGCUGGUUUGUGAGUGAAAGUCACCUGCCUUAAUAUCUCAAAACUCAUCUUCGGGUGAUGUUUGAGAUAUUUGCUCUUUAAAAUCUGGAUCAAGCUGAAAAUUGAAACACUGAACAACGAAAGUUGUUCGUGAGUCUCUCAAAUUUUCGCAACACGAUGAUGAAUCGAAAGAAGCAUCUUCGGGUUGUGAGGUUAAGCGACUAAGCGUACACGGUGGAUGCCCUGGCAGUCAGAGGCGAUGAAGGACGUGCUAAUCUGCGAUAAGCGUCGGUGAGGUGAUAUGAACCGUUAUAACCGGCGAUUUCCGAAUGGGGAAACACAGUGUGUUUCGACACACUAUCAUUAAC